UACAGAGGGGGCAAGCGUUGUUCGGAAUUACUGAGCGUAAAGGGCGCGUAGGCGGCCUGCUAAGUCGGAUGUGAAAUCCCCAGGCUUAACCUGGGAACUGCAUCCGAUACUGGAUGGCUUGAAUCCGGGAGAGGGAUGCAGAAUUCCAGGUGCAGCGGUGAAAUGCGUAGAUAUCUGGAGGAAUACCGGUGGCGAAGGCGGCAUCCUGGACCGGCAUUGACGCUGAUGAGCGAAAGCCAGGGGAGCAAACGGG
rnacentral:rRNA from 1 species